GACGAACGCUGGCGGCGUGCUUAACACAUGCAAGUCGAACGAUGAAGAAGAGAAACGCGAACUUCGGUUCAACUUUCACUUCGGAUUAGUGGCAGACGGGUGAGUAACGCGUGAGCAACCUACCUCUUACAAAGGGAUAGCCUCGGGAAACCGUGAUUAAUACCAUAUGACACAUUCAUAAGGCAUCUUAAGAAUGUUAAAGCUACGGCGGUAAGAGAUGGGCUCGCGUCCCAUUAGCUAGUUGGUGAGGUAACGGCCGACCAAGGCGACGAUGGGUAACCGGCCUGAGAGGGUGAACGGUCACAUUGGAACUGAGACACGGUCCAAACUCCUACGGGAGGCAGCAGUGGGGAAUAUUGCACAAUGGAGGGAACUCUGAUGCAGCGACGCCGCGUGAGCGAUGAAGGAAUUCGUUUCGUAAAGCUCUGUUCUAUGGGAAGAAAAGGACUGUACCAUAGGAGAAAGCCCCGGCUAAAUACGUG
rnacentral:rRNA from 1 species